UGGAGGAAAGUAGGGGAUCGUAAGACCUUGCGCUUUUGGAGUGGCCGAUGCCUGAUUAGCUAGUUGGUGGGGUAAGGGCCUACCAAGGCAACGAUCAGUAGUUGGUCUGAGAGGACGACCAGCCACACUGGGACUGAGACACGGCCCAGACUCCUACGGGAGGCAGCAGUGGGGAAUUUUGGACAAUGGGCGAAAGCCUGAUCCAGCAAUGCCGCGUGAGUGAAGAAGGCCUUCGGGUUGUAAAGCUCUUUCAGUCGAGAAGAAAAGGUCGCGACUAAUAAUCGCGACUCAUGACGGUAUCGACAGAAGAAGCACCGGCUAACUACGUGCCAGCAGCCGCGGUAAUACGUAGGGUGCGAGCGUUAAUCGGAAUUACUGGGCGUAAAGGGUGCGCAGGCGGCUUUGUAAGUCAGAUGUGA
rnacentral:rRNA from 1 species